rnacentral:rRNA from 1 species
UACGGAGGGGGCUAGCGUUGUUCGGAAUUACUGGGCGUAAAGCGCGCGUAGGCGGCUUUGCAAGUCAGAGGUGAAAGCCCGGGGCUCAACCCCGGAAUUGCCUUUGAGACUGCAUCGCUAGAACGUCGGAGAGGUGAGUGGAAUUCCGAGUGUAGAGGUGAAAUUCGUAGAUAUUCGGAAGAACACCAGUGGCGAAGGCGACUUACUGGACACAUAUUGACGCUGAGGUGCGAAAGCGUGGGGAGCAAACAGG